rnacentral:tRNA from 1 species
GCCGACGUCGCAUAACCUGGCAUUGCGCUGGUCUCGAAAACCAGUGUCCUUCGGACGUGCAGGUUCAAAUCCUGCCGUCGGCG